rnacentral:rRNA from 1 species
GAUGAACGCUAGCGGCAGGCUUAAUACAUGCAAGUCGAGGGGCAGCAGGACUGUAGCAAUACAGUUGCUGGCGACCGGCAAACGGGUGCGGAACACGUACGCAACUUACCCUUGUCUGGGGCAUAGCCCACCGAAAGGUGGAUUAACUCCCCAUAAGAUAGUGGUGUGGCAUCACACAGCUAUUAAAACUGAGGUGGACAAGGAUGGGCGUGCGGCUGAUUAGGUAGUUGGUGCGGGUAACGGCCCACCAAGCCUGCGAUCAGUAACUGGUGUGAGAGCACGACCAGUCACACGGGCACUGAGACACGGGUCCGACUCCUACGGGAGGCAGCAGUAAGGAAUAUUGGUCAAUGGAGGCAACUCUGAACCAGCCAUGCCGCGUGGAGGAUGAAGGCCCUCUGGGUUGUAAACUUCUUUUACAGGGGACGAAACACUUCUAUUCUUAGGAGCUUGACGGUACCCUGGGAAUAAGCACCGGCUAACUCCGUGCCAGCAGCCGCGGUAAUAC